GUUUAUAGUAUCGAAAUGUCUUAAUUUUCGAUCCGGUCUAUAACUGUAGUCUUCCAUAUCGGUCUAUUCCGUAAUCUAUAUAAAUAUAGAAUUACAGAAAUAGAUGGUGGUGGAGGAGGUACAGGUAAUAAUGGCGGUGGUGGGGGCACCCCCAUCAAUGGAGCCCCUGGAGGAGGUGGCAGACGCAUGCCAUGGUUCUCCCACAUCUUGGGAGGAGGUGGAGGCAUACGUAGUGGUUCCAUUUUAAAUGCAAAUUGCAGGAAAAACUGUUUAGUAUCCUUGUUCCAGUGCGUCCAGAAUUUGGAGUCAUGUUUCUCCACUUCCCUGCUCGGUACUUUAAAUGCAAUUGUCUCAUAUGGCUCAGCAGCAAAUAACAAGUACUGCCAGCGACGGUCUGGAGGCUCUAUCUUUUGUUCAUAAGCAGACAUGAAGCGGUGCCUAGGCUGGACACCUUCAGCAAUUUCUAAAAUAGAGAAAAAUUAAAGGUUGAUUAAUACAAUGAAUUACGUAAAACCAUAUAUUUUCAGUAAAAUUAAGCCUCAGUUAAUGUAUGUAACUGCAACAACAUUACAGAAGAAAGAAGGGCUAUCAGUACUUGCUUUACCUGGGUAAUCAACUUGAAAUAAUAAACUCUGUUGGCCAUUC